GCAGUCUAAGGAAGGUGUCCUGUCCCUCAAAAUUCCCUUCUCGCCACACCUCCCCCUUCUGUUCCUAUUGGCUCCCUGCCCACACGUGGUUUGUUUUAUGUCAUCGCUUAUCCAUAUUAAUUCUUGUCAUUUGUAGUCGGGUCUUUAGCCGAGAGGCAUCGCAUGAUCAGAUGCUCUAGCUACUUCCAACAUGACGGGCAUUUCCACCGUCUUGUCGACCCUAAACAUACCAUGCUUAUUGCCGUUUCUUCUAAUUUUGCUAUUCCUCCAUGGUUAUGUCGCUAGGUUUCAUCAAACAGACCCUCUGCACAAGAAGCCAACGGCAGACGAAAAUUGCAGUCGAAGAUUUGGAGCCUUUCUCUAGUCUUGAAGUCUGUGAUGUUGAAGCUGUGAGACGGACCAACUGAUGUAUGAAGCCGACUUAAGACAUCUUGCGUCACAGGGUCAACCAACUAACAUCUAAGGAAUCCAAGGCUGCUGGGCACAUCUUGCGUUCAGUCUUGUAUUCACACAUCGAUGACUUGGUCCAACCUGCCAGCGGUGCACGUUACUAGAAAGAGCAAAUGAAGAAAAUAAAUGUACAUGUAUUAAUUUAAACAUUUAACACUUAGUUAUUCAAUUGCAAUCUCCAAGUGAAAGCUACUACAAAGCUGAUAUUUGAAGCCAAUGAUUCUCCAGAAACCUUGACCUGGACUCCACAAUUUCAAAGAUAAAAUGAGGAAAAUUGGAAGUAUUUCAAAAGGUGGAUCUCCAGCCCUUCUACAGGUCAAACUGACUUUCUGGCCAUUCCGGAAGCACAUGAAUUCCUGAUUAACUACUCUGAACUCUGAGAAGCACUCAAGGUGUGGUAAAUCUCUAAUUCUCACCCAACAACCUCAUCCAAAAGCCUUCCUGGUUAAAAAUUUUAUUUAUUAAGAGUCCCUUGUGAUAUUUGAUCAGCUUCCGAACAAGACACUGCAUUUCAAAUGUUUCUCUGCUUUUUAUUGGACAGAAUUUUUCUCUGAACUGCCAGAUCACUUUCUGUAUUUGUUGAAAUGAAAUUCAUAUCUUUUUUUACGAAAUUGAAAUAGAAAAAGUUUUAGCCACAUCCAUUUAUCUGAAAAGGGGAAUUUUUCCAGCUGAACUUUGAAAUAAAUUAUUAAGUAUCCAAGUUUUUCCCAGGUGAGUCUGGUUACUUCUUAAAUGCCGAAUCUGUUGAUGCUUAGCGAAAGGGCAAUAUUCUUGAUCUCAAUUUACAUUCAUAAGAAUUAAUGCAGGAAUAAAUCUGGUUCUGAUUACAAAUCUGAUAUUAUGUUGUCACAGCGCCAUGUUUUCAGGCAAAUUUAUGCACACUGGAUUAACUUUCCCGAGCGCAGUGUUCGAAGCUUUCAAAAGAUAAAAUUCAGACUUUAGGCAGCUAACACAAUUUCAGAGCAUCAUUUUUACCUUGUCAAGUGACCUCUGAUAGCCAAUAACACUUCCACAGGUGUUUCA